UGCUAACAUACCUUGGCCUUGCGUCACAGAUCUGUAUCCCUAGCCACUGGAUGGACCAAGGCAGGAGAAUUAAAAAAUUCUUGCAAGGCACCUGAGUGACUUAGUGAGGUUGCUUCUCAAAUUAACAGUUAGGUUGAACCAGAGUUUGUUUGACUUCUGCUGCUCUUACUCCUGGUCACUUAUUAACACAUCUAACAAGCAGAAGAGGACUCGAACUAAAAACUAAGGCCGGCUCCUGAAAACACAGCGCUAUUUCAUUCUUUCCAAACGCCUUCGAAGGGGGCCUGCAAAUGAGCGGAACGCUAGUGGGGCUGCGCUCCAAACCCGGGGGAGGGAUUUCCUGCUACCUUAGCCCAUCCCCCACCACUGCGAAGGAGGAAGGAAGCGGCAGCUCACCAAGACUCAUGAACACUCCCUGACACCUUCGUAGAAGCAGAAUUUUGGGCCUGGCCACCCCACCCCACCCCCGAACCUAAAGGACCUACAUUUUAACAGGAUGCGUACCUGUGUUGGCUGUACACUGCACAGCUCUUGCCAGGGUUUGAAACAGUCCCUUACGCGUGUGCCGCCUGUGUUCACACACUGUCUUCCUGGCCCCGGAGAGGGAGACAGGGCAGAGAUCGUAAAGAUGAAGAUUUACACAAGUCUUUUAAAUGCUAAAAAAUCCAUCACAGGAUAUACCUCGAAACGGAUACAUUCAUUUUCAAUAGUUCCUUCCCUGAGAGUCACAUCCGGUCUGUCCUCUUCCGUCCAGAUGUCAACUGUGACAAAUUCAUAAGAACCCCUCUAACAAGGUUGGUUCUACAAAUUCUAAAGGGUUGUAGGGAUCUUGUUUUCCCUAGCUACUCCUCAAUCAGAGGAAGCAAACGUGGGGAAAUUUUAAGUAUUUUCGACUUGCCCAGUCCUGGGGCAAAGCAAAUCCACCUAUGCCUUGUUGAGAUGGAGGAUUCGGUUGGUAUGGAUCAGACAGAGAGAGGACUCAUCCUGCUACAGAGACGAUCCUGCAGCGGAGACUCCUAAUGAGCAGUCUGGUGGCAAAAAAAAAAAAAAAAAAAAAAAAAAAAAAAAAAAAAUCACAAUGCAAAACAAAUUAGCCGGGGAAUUUUUCAGGUGUCAGUUUCAAUGAGGGAGGAACAGACAAGGAAUAAAAAAUCAUCGCAUGUAAAA